UGUCAUGGGAGGUAAAUCAGAUUAUGUCACGUCUCAGGAAACACCAACUGGCCCAUGUACUCUAUACUAAGUUGGAUGAUUUAUCUUAUAUUGGCUUAGAAAUGCCGACGUACAUAAGAUUAGCGUGAGGCUUCACCUUUGCCCAGCAGAACGCCAUGCAACGUAUCUUCCUGAAUAAUUGAAUUUCCCCGCGCAGGAGAGUGGGCGGAGCGUAGAUGCCCUGCUCUCAAGCUUCGGUGUGCCUCAAGCGCCAACUUCUCUAGUUAAAUUCACGUUGACUCGCUGUGUGAAGGGCGUUCGGGCUGGACUUCGUUGUUUUGUGCAAUUCUCGUGGUUUUAAUGUGUUCGCGUGUAUAGUAACUUGACUGUGUUGCGGUGUGAUGAACAAGUGGAUGGUGGGUGCCUGCUCCUGAGGAUGCCUCCAAUAUGUAUUUGUGGGUGAAGCAGACGACUGUCAAACCGGCCGGGCCAUCUGGUGAACGGUGUCUCCCUCUCCCAGCACGUGGUUACGUCUACAGGCGUCUGGCAUGGGAGAACAGUUACAGCAGGGAUUAGUGUGGCGCGUGAAGAGCUGUGGAUGUAAUGAACACCUCUCACCUUCGCCCUCUGCUGUCUGCAGCUCACUCGUCCCUCUGCUGUCGUAAAAGCAACAACACAUCAAGCACCACUAGCACUACAUCAGCACCGCGGCCAUCACUCAGCACAGUCACAGGGGGAGCGGCGCAGCGGAGCCACCAUCACAUCAAAACUACAUUGGGUGCCGCCACGGGCAGUGGUGUUGGUGCGUGGUGAAGACAGCUGCCCUUCAUACCUCACUGCUUCAAGACGUGCUCACUCCCAUCCAUCGGGCGAGCCCGCAGCGUCGGAAUGGGCGUAGGGUAGGACAUGAAAAGGAGGCUUGAGUUGCUUCACAAGAAAGACGAACUGGAGGCCACUGACCCCCCGGUGAGAGCAACGAGGCGAGGGACCCCGGCCGCCUCCACCCAGAAGAGGACAGACCCGCCACUGUGUACUGCUGAGGAGCGAUUGAUGUUCAGGGAACGCAGUGAAGCAAUGAUGCGUUGCUACGACCAUCAUGAGCCUGUAGUAGAAGUGAGGAUAAGACUGCAGGAUUAGAAGUACCAUUGAUAGUAGGAAGAAGAGAAAGAGACGUUGGUGUAUUAGCAAGGAGUAAGGAGAAAGAUAAAGGCUAUGAGAGAAAGUGGGAGAAAUUACCAAUGUUGUUAUUAGCUAUAAUAGGAGGAUGAGGAGAAGGAGGAGACGUUGGUGUAGCAGGAAAGAGUAAUGAUAGAAGGAAAAAAAUGGGAGAAAUGAUUGGUGUUAAUGUGGAACGUGCGAGAAAAACGUGAUAAGUGGUGCAGCUGAGAAGAGUCACGUGUCUUGUGGUCGCAGAGGAAGGACAAACGCGCAGGGUAGGAGGAGAAAGAAAUAAUCCCAGAAGUGGUGUGUUGCCUCUCGCUGCUCGUCUCUGUUUCCACUUGGAGGAUGUGAAUGGGAGGCGAAUAGAUCUCGGGGAAGACUGAGACGUAAAAGAGGCCGAGGAGGAGUAGAGAAGAAAUAGACUGAAGAAAACAGAGGAACAAAAGGAAAAAUGAGCGGAAAAGAGAAAAAGGAAGAGCAGAGCCGGCGUCCCUCUCCCUCCAAGAUGAAUGACUCUUGGCACUACGUCAACAUUUCCGUCUUUUGUGUAACUGCUUAUGCACGACUGACUUAAGGAUGUUUAUGCUGGUAGUGUAGCUGCCGGUCACCCUCCCCUCCUCUCCUUCUUCCCUGCCACAGAAUACUACUACUGCUGUUCUUACUGUUCCAUUCUGCCUUCUCUUUUUCCUCUUCACCUUAACUCUACAAUACUGCUGUUCUUAUUAAUGUUACUUUUCUCCUCCUCUCAUUCUACUUUUAUAACACUCUUGUUCUAUCACUUCUCUCUUCCUCCUUCACCUUAUCUUCAAUAGUCCUAUUUUUAUUAAUUUAUUCUACCUCUUCCUUCUCUUAUUCCCCUCUUUUCUCAGUGACACUCCAAUUCCUAAUUUCAUAUAAUCAAAACUUCAUCUUGCGUCUUCUCAUCACUGUCUCCCUGAUUCCUGAUUGUGCUCGUCUUAUUCCAUUCUGCCUUCUCCUCUCUCUACCCUACUUCACUGUUCCUUUACCCUUUCCUCUACAACCACUUCCCCGCCUUCUUGUUCCUUGUCCUCUUCCCUUUUCCUCUUCACCUUCUGUCUCUCACCCUCUCUACUCUACUUCACUCCCCUUGUUCUCUUUGUUCUACAUUUUUAACUUUCCCAUUCCUUGUCCUCUCCCUUUCCUCUUCUCCUUAGGUCUUACAACUACUCAACCUCUCUGCUAAUCCUUUUCCUUUUACUCCGAAGACUUGUCAACUUCCAACGAGUCCUUUAUCGGCAGUUCCUUAUUUUUGUAGCUUAAGAAUAAAGUUUAAACAUCCUGA